rnacentral:lncRNA from 1 species
GUUUAAAUGUAGUGAUCAAUGACACUCUCCAGGUGCUCUCUCAUAGUGGAGGGUCGUGAUGAUGGAGGAUCAGAAACCCGCAAACUUGGCUGAGAAAAUGGAGCCGAGGAAAAUUCUCGGGCAAAUUCACUGAGGAAGAGUCGAUCACCAUUCCUGUUGCCUGACUGGUGUAACAUCAACUCUCAGGCAUGUCAGAUCAAGAGGGAGAACCAUAGUAAACGAAGAAAGUGGAGCCGUGUGCUUGCGCUGAGAGCCAUGUGGAACCAAGUAAGGCUCACCCCCAAAGCUCUUUGCAGGCUGACCCACCUGCUCUCUGCCCUCUCCACCCUCAGCUCCGGUUCCAGAGCUCUGGCCCCCUCUCCUUCCCACCACAUGCUCUGCACAUUCUGAACACCACUCUGUUGCCUGUGCCUCCUGCUUGGUACAUUACAGAUGGGAUAACAGAAGCUGAAGAAG